GAUGAACGCUAGCGGCAGGCUUAACACAUGCAAGUCGAGGGGUAACAGGGAAGAGCUUGCUUUUCCGCUGACGACCGGCGCACGGGUGAGUAACGCGUAUAGAACCUACCUUUUACAGGGGAAUAGCCCAGAGAAAUUUGGAUUAAUGCCCUAUAGUAUUAUUGAAUGGCAUCAUUUAGUAAUUAAACAUUUAUGGGUAAAAGAUGGCUAUGCGUUCUAUUAGCUAGAUGGUAAGGUAACGGCUUACCAUGGCAACGAUAGAUAGGGGUCCUGAGAGGGAGAUCCCCCACACUGGUACUGAGACACGGACCAGACUCCUACGGGAGGCAGCAGUGAGGAAUAUUGGACAAUGGAGGCAACUCUGAUCCAGCCAUGCCGCGUGCAGGAAGACGGCCCUAUGGGUUGUAAACUGCUUUUAUACGGGAAGAAACCCAACUACGUGUAGUUGGCUGACGGUACCGUAAGAAUAAGCACCGGCUAACUCCGUGCCAGCAGCCGCGGUAAUACGGAGGGUGCAAGCGUUAUCCGGAAUCAUUGGGUUUAAAGGGUCCGUAGGCGGGCUAAUAAGUCAGGGGUGAAAUCCAACAGCUUAACUGUUGAACUGCCUUUGAUACUGUUAGUCUUGAAUUAUAUGGAAGUAGAUAGAAUGUGUAGUGUAGCGGUGAAAUGCUUAGAGAUUACACAGAAUACCG
rnacentral:rRNA from 1 species